ensembl:misc_RNA Metazoa_SRP Metazoan signal recognition particle RNA
GCUGGGCGUGGUGGCUCAUGCCUGUAAUCCCAGCACUUUGGGAGGCUGAGGCAGGUGGAUCACUUGAGGUCAGGAGUUUGAGACCAGCCUGGCCAACAUGGUGAAACCCUGUCUCUA